rnacentral:rRNA from 1 species
CCUACGGGUGGCUGCAGUGGGGAAUAUUGCACAAUGGGGGAAACCCUGAUGCAGCGAUGCCGCGUGAGCGAUGAAUUAUUUCGGUAUGUAAAGCUCUAUCAGCAGGGAAGAAAAUGACGGUACCUGACUAAUAAGCCCCGUCUAACUACAUGCCAGCAGCCGCGGCAAGACGUAGGCGUCAAGCGUUAUCCGGAUUUACUGGGGGUAAAGGGAGCGUAGACGGCUGUGCAAGCCAGAUGUGAAAGCCCGGGGCUCAACCCCGGGACUGCAUUUGGAACUGUGUGGCUGGAGUAUAGGAGAGGCAGGCGGAAUUCCUGGUGUAGCGGUGAAAUGCGUAGAUAUUAGGAGGAACACCAGUGGCGAAGGCAGCCUACUGGACGAUGACUGACGUUGAGGCUCGAAAGCGUGGGGAGCAAACAGGAUUAGAUACCCUAGUAGUC